rnacentral:rRNA from 1 species
CAGCAGCCGCGGUAAUACGAAGGGUGCAAGCGUUAAUCGGAAUUACUGGGCGUAAAGCGCGCGUAGGUGGUUUGGUAAGAUGGAUGUGAAAUCCCCGGGCUCAACCUGGGAACUGCAUCCAUAACUGCCUGACUGGAGUACGGUAGAGGGUGGUGGAAUUUCCUGUGUAGCGGUGAAAUGCGUAGAUAUAGGAAGGAACACCAGUGGCGAAGGCGACCACCUGGACUGAUACUGACACUGAGGUGCGAAAGCGUGGGGAGCAAACAGGAUUAGAUACCCCGGUAGUCCCUGUCUCUUAUAC